rnacentral:rRNA from 1 species
UACGUAGGGUGCAAGCGUUGUCCGGAAUUAUUGGGCGUAAAGAGCUUGUAGGCGGUUUGUCGCGUCUGCUGUGAAAUUUCGGGGCUCAACCCCGAACUUGCAGUGGGUACGGGCAGACUAGAGUGUGGUAGGGGAGACUGGAAUUCCUGGUGCAGCGGUGAAAUGCGCAGAUAUCAGGAGGAACACCGAUGGCGAAGGCAGGUCUCUGGGCCACUACUGACGCUGAGAAGCGAAAGCAUGGGGAGCGAACAGG